ACCGUGCCUGCACCCAUCUCACGGCCUCUGCCCCUGGGCAUUUCAGUCUCGGCCUUCCCAGCGUGUCAGACAGCUCAGGGGCUGUGCCUGUCCUCCCUUAGGGCACCGCUCUACCCCUCUGUAACCCCUCUGGAGUCACACCCCUCUUCCUUGUGGAUAUCGUGCAUGCUUUAUAGUUGGUGCCGGAUGAGCACCCUGUAUAAUUUUGUCAGAAGCAACCCAAAUCUACCCACAGCCCACCCUGCAGGAAACUCAGCUGCAGAAGCCUUCUCACAGAAGUUUUCCUGCUGAGAGAUAUUCCUUUGCUCCUCGGUGGUGAGCUCCUGUAAAGCUGACUGGACACAGUCCUGAGCAAUGUGCUUGUGCAGGAGGGCUGGCCUAGAUCAUCUCCAGAGGGCCCUGCCAGCCUCAGUUAUUUUAUGAGUCUCUACAAAGUAUUGAUGAUUCCUGAAGGAUCUGAAGCACUUUUGGCUUUUUUAGGACUGAUAUGCAGCAAUAAGAAGUGUUUGGAAAACGGCAAACAGUUGUAAAAAAAGGUUAUUUUCAAAGCAACAAAAAUAACAGUAAAAAAAGAGAAACCUCGUGAAGAUGCUGGCUUUUGAAAAUGGAUGAACAAUUCCUCAGUAAUCAAAAGCAUAAACAUGAAAACUUGUACUGAAAAUUUUUACUUGUAUGUAAAAAUCUUGUAAAUUUUUUUUUUUAAUAGGCCAUGUUUUGCAUGUGUUGGAAAUCUUACAUUUCUCUAGAGAAGGUCAAAUAGAGUUUGAUAUUAGAGGGUUAACUUCUAAUUAGGAAUUCUGCAAGAUCAGAAAAUGCCAUUAUGAGGGGACUUGAGUAUCCUGGAAGUGUGAGGCUCCAAAGCCUGCCUCUCUUCCAGGCAGGAGGCAGGUGAGGAACAGCCCUUCACCUGCUUGCCAGCCCUGCUAGUGCCCAGCAGUGCCCUUCCCGUAAAGGGCUGAUGCCAGGGCUCAAGGGAGGGUGGUCUCCAGCUGCAGUGCCCAAGGGGAGAGCUGGUCUGACUGCCUGACUCCAAAAGAGACUCAUCCCAUCUCUGCCCCCCAAGUCCUGUAGGAGAAACACCAUGUGUUUUCAACAAAUAAAGUUUCAGAGGGAAAUCGUUUCUGAAGGGGUUGUGCUGCCUUGCCCUGACAGUGAGGACCCCAAUAAUGCUGGCAUCUUCCAGGAGACACCACGGGGUGUGUUCAGCCUUGCUCCCAGCCUUGCCAGCCACCUGCACUGGGACAGCAACAACACACUUACAUUUAGCUCUCUGCAGUCCUGGAAAGCCACGGGAGCUGCAGCAAGCCCAUUCUUGUGCUAAUAAAUAGGGUCAAUGUCAGUUCUGAAGCUUAUGCUUUUAACUUGGCAGCUCUGGCACCCUCCUGCAAGAAAAAACAUCUCAGUCAUUCACAUGGCUGUGUUCAUCAGCAGGAAAGAAAUAAAUCUCUGCUUAGCACCAUUUCUCCUUAGGGUAAACUUUGCCAUUGAAGUUUUUAAAUUAGCUCUGAAGAAAAAUAUUUUGAAGGUUUUCUGGCUGUGCUGACUCCAGCACUCCACAUCUCUCCCAGCAGAUUACAGGGACUUCUGGACUUAAUCUGUUCCUGGUAUUCAUGUGACAAAUGAAUAUUCAUUAGGCACCGUGUUCUCACUUUAGAUUAGAUAUCAUUUAACACUGCAGUGGGGAGGGAGUUUGGGGAGACAGUACUGAUGACUUUCUUAAAGCCUGGCAAGAAAAAAAAGCCAUUAAACAGAGUAUUAGUUUACCGUGGAAGAAUGAGUCCUUCCGUGCUGGAAUCUGUGCACAAAGAGCAGUGCCAGGAACGAAGCAGUGUCUGUUUUUUCUACAGGUGUGAUAAUUUUCAGGGUCUUGGAUUAUUUGGCCAGACCUCAAAACAUCUCAAGUAGACAGCAGCCUCAUUUCAUUGGUACUGAACUGUGCUGGCUCUCAGGUGUCUUCCCUCCCUUCUGUUAUGAAGUUUUCACCUUGUUUGUUUUAAAAAGCAUUGGACUUAAAUUUGUACUGCAGCUUGUGUAUUUUGAGGACUUUAAUAUAUAUUUACAUUAAGCAAAAGUAAUUCCAGCCUGCAGUUGGAGAAAGGUUGUCUGCUAUAAAGAAUAUUACAUGUUUUAUGUGUUGCUAAAAUAAAAUGAAUCCAUCAUGGCAGACACUUGUGGUGUCAAAUAGUGUCUUCUGGGCUAUUUAAGGGAUAGCUGGAUAUUUUUGUGUGUAAAAAUGCUGUUU